rnacentral:tRNA from 1 species
GGCGUGUUCGUCUAGUGGCCUAGGACAUCGCCCUCUCAAGGCGAAGAUCAGGGGUUCGAAUCCCCUACACGCUA